rnacentral:rRNA from 1 species
GAUGAACGCUGGCGGCGUGCCUAAUACAUGCAAGUCGAGCGAACAGACGAGUAUCUUGCUCCUCUGACGUUAGCGGCGGACGGGUGAGUAACACGUGGAUAACCUACCUAUAAGACUGGGAUAACUUCGGGAAACCGGAGCUAAUACCGGAUAAUAUAUUGAACCGCAUGGUUCAAUAGUGAAAGACGGGUUUGCUGUCACUUAUAGAUGGAUCCGCGGCGCAGUAGCUAGUUGGUAAGGUAACGGCUUACCGAGGCGACGAUGCGUAGCCGACCUGAGAGCGUGAUGGGCGCCACUGGAACUGAGACACGGUCCAGACUCCUACGGGAGGCAGCAGUAGGGACUCUUCCGCAAUGGGCGAAAGCCUGAAGGAGCAACGCCGCGUGGGUGAUGAAGGUCUUCGGAUCGUAAGACUCUGUUAUUAGGGAAGAACAAAUGUGUAAGUAACUAUGCACGUCUUGACGGUACCUAAUCAGAAAGCCACGGCUAACUACGUG